rnacentral:lncRNA from 1 species
GAAAAAGAACUGGAUAAAGAAAAGAAAGUUAAUGAACAAUUGGCCCUUCGAAACGAGGAGGCAGAAAAUGAAAACAGCAAAUUAAGAAGAGAGAAUGAACAGCUUCGUCAGGACAUUAUUGACUACCAGAAACAAAUAGAUUCACAAAAAGAAUCACUUCUGUCAAGGAGAGGAGAGGACAGUGACUACCGAUCACAGUUAUCUAAAAAGAACUAUGAACUUGUUCAAUAUCUGGACGAAAUACAGACCUUAACAGAAGCUAAUGAGAAAAUUGAAGUUCAGAACCAAGAAAUGAGAAAAAA